AGUGUCAAAAAACACACGCUUUAACGCUUGCGUUAUAAAGCGUGUGUUUUAAUGACACGCAAGAUCAUGAGGAUGGAGAAAUUUGCGAAAGCAAAUUGCGAGAAUCCGAAUGAUCUUAGGAUUGCGAGAGAUGCGAAGCAGCGGAGCAAUCCGAGUU
rnacentral:sRNA from 1 species